UUGUGACAGAACCUGGAACGAAACCACUGAUCGAACGUAUAACUGCCUUGAAAUACGACGCUCACUCUGUUUACUAGAGGCAAUCCCCAGCUUCAGUGGUCAAUCAGUUUGCGUGUGGUCAGCCUGGGCUGCACGUGUCCGUCUCGUGCUCUCACUGAAUAUAAGUUAUUUUCAAACUCCUAUGAUCACAACAAAAAUACAACCGAUUUCGUCAACAUUGAAGAGUUAAUUUAAAAUCAUCCAAAGAUAAAACAGCCCAGGCUGAUAAAACGCACGUAGACGUAAAACAACAACAGAAGAAAGAAAAAAAAGGGAUUAGAACAACAGAAAAGAAAGUGGACUUGUAUACCAGUGAAUUAUCAAACAGUGACAAUGGCAACCAAAUUUACAACCUUGAUCACACCUGUUUGUAUCGUGGUUGGCUUACUUUUCCUUACAAGUAGGGCCGAUUCCAGUGUAAGACUCUGUGGAAAUCAUCUCUCCGAAGCUCUGGCUUUGUUGUGCCGAGCUCAUGGCGGGUUCUAUUCA